rnacentral:rRNA from 1 species
AACGAACGCUGGCGGCAUGCCUAACACAUGCAAGUCGAACGAGACCUUCGGGUCUAGUGGCGCACGGGUGCGUAACGCGUGGGAACCUGCCCUUAGGUUCGGAAUAACUCCCCGAAAGGGGUGCUAAUACCGGAUAAUGUCUUCGGACCAAAGAUUUAUCGCCUUUGGAUGGGCCCGCGUUGGAUUAGCUAGUUGGUAGGGUAAAAGCCUACCAAGGCGACGAUCCAUAGCUGGUCUGAGAGGAUGAUCAGCCACACUGGGACUGAGACACGGCCCUGACUCCGACGGGAGGCAGCAGUGGGGAAUAUUGGACAAUGGGCGAAAGCCUGAUCCAGCAAUGCCGCGUGAGUGAUGAAGGCCUUAGGGUUGUAAAGCUCUUUUACCCGGGAUGAUAAUGACAGUACCGGGAGAAUAAGCUCCGGCGAACUCCGU